GAAAUGCCUCCAUGAGAUCCAGCUGUAAGGCAUUUUCUCAAUUAGUGAUCAAGAGGGAAGGGCUCAUUGUGGGUGGUACCAUCCCUGGGCUGGUGUCUUG
rnacentral:miRNA from 14 species